GUAAAUGGGUGUCGGCGGAGGGGGUGAUACGGGGGGUGGUGGCGUGAAUCGGAAGUGUUGGGGGUAAAGCGGAUGUUGGUGGCUCAUUAAGGCACAUGUGGAAGCCCCGGGCUGAACCUGGGGAAUGCAGGUGAUACGGGUGGUGCUAGAAGAUGUGAGAGGGAAGUAGAAGUCCAGGGGUAGCGGUGAAAUGCGUAGAGAUCUGGAGGAAUACCGAUGGCGAAGGCAGCUUCCUGGCAUAAUAUUGACACUGAGAUUCGAAAGCGUGGGUAGCAAACAGGAUUAGAUACCCCAGUAGUC
rnacentral:rRNA from 1 species